UGGCAGCAGUGGGGAAUAUUGGUCAAUGGGCGCAAGCCUGAACCAGCCAAGCCGCGUGCAGGAUGACGGCCCUAUGGGUUGUAAACUGCUUUUAUACGGGAAGAAACACCUGACGUGCUCAGGGAAUGACUGUACCGUAUGAAUAAGCAUCGGCUAACUCCGUGCCAGCAGCCGCGGUAAUACGGAGGAUGCAAGCGUUAUCCGGAUUUAUUAGGUUUAAAGGGUGCGUAGGCGGGUUUGUAAGUCAGUGGUGAAAUCCUGCAGCUUAACUGUAGAACUGCCAUUGAUACUGCAAGUCUUGAGUACAUUUGAGGUAGGCGGAAUGUGUGGUGUAGCGGUGAAAUGCUUAGAUAUCACACAGAACACCGAUUGCGAAGGCAGCUUACUAAACUGUAACUGACGCUGAGGCACGAAAGCGUGGGGAUCAAACAGGAUUAGAUACCCUGGUAGUC
rnacentral:rRNA from 1 species